rnacentral:misc_RNA from 1 species
UCCAAUGGCCCCCUAAUGGUGGACGGUUUUUAGUUGCUGAGUUUGUUGAUCCUGAAGAGGUGAAGUCGCGCCUUGAAUCCCCUCCGCAAGCUCCUGCACCUGCCAGCGCCAGUCCAGCUACCCCUACAGCUCCGCGAUUGCUCCAAUCGCAGGUUCCCAAGCUUCCUCAGCAGAAUUCUCUCCCACAGAAGCUACCGCCACCCCCUCCCCUCCCCCUUCCCCCACCGCCACCGCUUUCUGAGUUGCCCCGUG